rnacentral:siRNA from 1 species
GGCGGUAACCCUUCUGAGCUACGUGGGUAGCUAGCUGGUCGCGGGGCACUAGUACAAGCUACCACCUCCUAAGCGAGACGAUACUUGCACUUUAGUGUGAGACCCUGCUUCCAUUCACUAGGAAUGGUGGGCUAGGGUGUGAUGAGUGCUUUAGCCAGCACUUCAUCACAAAUUUGCCUGCCUACCCUUGGGACAUCUUCUGUCUACCCUCGGACAGGGGGGGCAUAGCUUGCUAUGCUGCCCUUGUCAGUUUGUCUAUCACUCCUGAGCUA